ensembl:Mt_tRNA
AGCCCUGAGGUGAUUGUUCAUGUUGAAUUGCAAAUUCAAAGGAGCAGCUUCAAUCCUGCCGGGGCUU